rnacentral:rRNA from 1 species
CCGGUUGAUCCCGCGGACCCGACUGCUAUCAGAGUGGGACUAAGCCAUGCGAGUCAACAUAGCAAUAUGUGGCAUACGGCUCAGUAACACGUAGUCAACAUGCCCAGGGGACGUGGAUAACCUCGGGAAACUGAGAAUAAACCACGAUAGAUCAUAGUGCCUGGAAUGGCUUAUGGUCCAAACAGUUUACUGCCAUGGGAUGGGACUGCGGCCUAUCAGCUUGUUGGUGAGGUAAUGGCCCACCAAGGCGAUUACAGGUACGGGCUCUGAGAGGAGUAGCCCGGAGAUGGGUACUGAGACACGGACCCAGGCCCUAUGGGGCGCAGCAGGCGAGAAACCUUAGCAAUGUGCGAAAGCACGACUGGGUCAGUCCGAGUGAUUCCUGAUAAAGGAGUCUUUUGCCUGUCCUAAAAGCACAGGUGAAUAAGGGGUGGGCAAGUCUGGUGUCAGCCGCCGCGGUAAUACCAGCACCUCGAGUGGUCAGGACGUUUAUUGGGCCUAAAGCAUCCGUAGCCGGCUCUGCAAGUCUUCGGUUAAAUCCACCUGCUCAACAGAUGGGCCGCUGGAGAUACUACAGAGCUAGGGAGUGGGAGAGGCAGACGGUAUUCAGUGGGUAGGGGUAAAAUCCUCUGAUCCAUUGAGGACCACCAGUGGCGAAGGCGGUCUGCCAGAACACGUUCGACGGUGAGGGAUGAAAGCUGGGGGAGCAAACCGGGUUAGAUACCCGGGUAGUCCCAGCUGUAAACGAUGCAAACUCGGUGAUGCAUUGGCUUAUGGCCAAUGCAGUGCCGCAGGGAAGCCGUUAAGUUUGCCGCCUGGGAAGUACGGACGCAAGUCUGAAACUUAAAGGAAUUGGCGGGGGAGCA